rnacentral:rRNA from 1 species
UUAUCCUACGGGACGCAGCAGUGGGGAAUAUUGCGCAAUGGGCGAAAGCCUGACGCAGCGACGCCGCGUGAGGGAUGAAGGUCUUCGGAUCGUAAACCUCUGUCAGCAGGGAAGAACGGUCACUGUGCUAAUCAGCAGUGAAUUGACGGUACCUGCAAAGGAAGCACCGGCUAACUCCGUGCCAGCAGCCGCGGUAAUACGGAGGGUGCGAGCGUUAAUCGGGAUUACUGGGCGUAAAGCGCUCGUAGGCGGUUUGUCACGUCAAGGGUGAAAUCCCCGCGCUCACAGUGGGUACUGCCUGUGAA